rnacentral:rRNA from 1 species
GAUGAACGCUGGCGGCGUGCCUAAUACAUGCAAGUCGAGCGAACGGACGAGAAGCUUGCUUUUCUGAUGUUAGCGGCGGACGGGUGAGUAACACGUGGAUAACCUACCUAUAAGACUGGGAUAACUUCGGGAAACCGGAGCUAAUACCGGAUAAUAUUUUGAACCGCAUGGUUCACAAGUGAAAGACGGUCUUGCUGUCACUUCUAGAUGGAUCCGCGCUGCAUUAGCUAGUUGGUAAGGUAACGGCUUACCAAGGCAACGAUGCAUAGCCGACCUGAGAGGGUGAUCGGCCACACUGGAACUGAGACACGGUCCAGACUCCUACGGGAGGCAGCAGUAGGGAAUCUUCCGCAAUGGGCGAAAGCCUGACGGAGCAACGCCGCGUGAGUGAUGAAGGUCUUCGGAUCGUAAAACUCUGUUAUUAGGGAAGAACAUAUGUGUAAGUAACUGUGCACAUCUUGACGGUACCUAAUCAGAAAGCCACGGCUAACUACGUG